rnacentral:snoRNA from 3 species
AGGCAGCCCCUAUGCCCCAUUACAAUGGCAAUGGAGGUGUUGCGUUGCUCGGAGAGUAAACCUUCUGCUCUUCAGAUUAGCUGAGGGGGAGGCUCUGCUUCCCUCCUUGAAGCUUGUCUAGUAGUCUUAAGAACAUC